UACGAAGGGGGCUAGCGUUGCUCGGAAUCACUGGGCGUAAAGAGCUCGUAGGCGGUUUGUCGCGUCUGCUGUGAAAACCUAAGGCUCAACCUUGGGCUUGCAGUGGGUACGGGCAGACUAGAGUGUGGUAGGGGAGACUGGAAUUCCUGGUGUAGCGGUGAAAUGCGCAGAUAUCAGGAGGAACACCGAUGGCGAAGGCAGGUCUCUGGGCCACUACUGACGCUGGAGAAGCGGAAAGCAUGGGGAGCGAACAGG
rnacentral:rRNA from 1 species